rnacentral:lncRNA from 1 species
UCCUAUCAUUUUUCUAAAAAACUAAAGAACCCUAAUGGUCCUCAACGCCGCUUAGUAACCAGGCCAUUCAAAGGCCUUUAAACCUUCGCCCAACUCCGAUUGCGGCGGAAUGGAAGAAGAUCCGGCCACCAGGUAAGCUCUUUAACUGUUUCCCUUUUUUUUAUGCACGAUUAAUAAUAUCAAAACAGAAAAGAAAAAAAGAAACGAAAAGAGAGAAAAAACUAAAAAAGAACACCUUCUUUCAGAAAUUUUUUGAUUUUUUGUCUAUUGAUUCUGCUUCAGUGUUUUUACAUUAGUUUCUCUGUAUCCCUUUUUUUACAAAUUUAUGUUUGGCUUUUAUAUAGCCUAAACAAUCGAAAAAAAAAAGAAGAAAAAAUAUCAAAAUCUAUUCUGUUAUUCUCAUUUUUGCUGCGUCUUUUUUUGUUUCUUUGCCCUUUGUCGUUUGUUUGUGUGCAGGUACAGCUAGCUGUAGGAGAUGCACACGCGCAAAGGUGCAGCACGCGCGGGGGAGGCCCUAGGUUCGACUGCAGCGCUGCUGGCUGCUGAAGGCUAGGGUUUCGGCGUUUGGGGAACACUUUGGGCUGUGUUGGGUUUGGGUAUUUUGGGCUAGAGUUCGGGUUUAGGUAUUGUAUUAGGUAUUAGAUUAAAAACGAUUUGGACCAUGUUGGGCCCAUGUAUUUGGACUUUGGACUUUUA